AUCGUCAGAAGGUUCCACUUACUGCAGAACUCUGUCUCCAGAGAGCGUGGAUUCUAACUAGUUUUUUUCCACCUCUAAAAAAGUGGCUAGCUCAUCAUUAUUGUCCUCAUUUUUUAGGAAGGAACCACAUGUGAAACCACUUACCUGUUUAACCCUAUGAACUUGAAGAGAACAUGUAAUGCCACUUAAAAUACCUAAGCUCGGGUUCUGCCUUCAGCGACUCCUGGUAGUAGUGCCCUUAUGAGCCAUUUAUCAAGAAGAAAGCAAGACUAGUCCCUUCUCUUCCUCCUCCACCUCAGCCUUCUCAAUGUGAAGAUGACAAGGAUGAAGACCUUUCUGAUGAUUCACUUUCACUUAAUGAAUAGCUUUAAGAUACAAGAUACUUCAAUGAAUAAAACAAAGACCUUUGCUUUCCUGAAACUUGAGAUCAAAUGGAGGACACACAAAAACAACGCACCUACAAAUCACCAUAUUGUGUGUCAGGAGCUGAGGAUGCUAUGAAAACCCCUUGAGGAAACAAAGGCACCUUGGGGGCCAUUGAGAACUCCUGACGAAGAGGGCUCAGCUGCCAGACCUGCUCAAGAAAGACCUCAGAAAUCUCUAUGGGGCUGUCAGAAGAAAAGGUUUGAAAAGGGUCUGGAGAGACUGAAAUUUGUCUGCCUUGGACUUUUCUUUUGACAAUUCACAUCCAACUUAAGCAGAAUCAUUGUUUAUUCUUAUUAUGCCAGGUUUCCUUUUCUGGUCUGCAGGUUCUCUAGGGUUUCAUAGGCUAGUAGUUGGAAUUUUCAUAUUUCCAAAGCAUUGGGGAUUUUGCAAAAACAAAAUCUAAAGGAUAUUCAGCAGCACAGUUUACUUAGGAGGUUUUAAUCAUAAUAAUCUGCAUAAUGUAUGAGAAUUUCUACCUCAGCUGCCUCCUUUCUUUCUCUUUCGUGUCUGGGAAAAAGCCAGGGAUUUUUCCCUUCCUCUGAUUUAAAUACCUUAUAAAAUUUUGGUGGAAGCAUUUUGUCCUAUUCUGUCUUCCUGAUUCAUUUUCUGCUGUAAUGAGCAAAAUUAAUUUGCAAGAGCUGCUACUGACAUAGUGUAAUAAACUGGGUCAUAGGUAGAAUCAGUGCCGCCUUAUGACCCUUAGCUGUCAUUGCUUUAAGGAAUUUGGCAUGGUCCUCGAAGGCCAGAAGGCAAUGUGGGUUGCAUCCUACAGCUUUUGAGAUCUCAGAGACUUACUGCACCCAUGGCUGGGAAUGAACUGUAAAUGCUGACACUGGUAACUAGGUGCCAAACUGAAGUGAUCACAACCUAAUCUGAGCCAAAAGGCAUUUCUUUGCAUCAGGCAUAAAGCAACAUCAAACUCCCAUAACCCACACACAACACAGAAAUCAUUACUGAAGAGAUUCAACAUCAUCAUGCCAGACACUAAGUGAGUUAUUUCUCUCCUUCCCUGUCUCACCACAGUUUCCUCCCACUUGGUCACACAUGGUAAGCAUUCAUGUGUGCGAAGGCAUUUUAUGCCUUCGACCUAACCCCGACCACAGUCCCCUAGUCUUAUCAGAGAUCUGCACUCCCCACCAUUUGAGCACGAUGGAGUGCAUAUUUCCAGUGCAAAAAGACUGAUAUCAUUAUGAUUUUCAUUAACUAGUUGCCAGCUUGCAUUCUUUUUUCUCCCUUUUUUUCUCUCUCAACAGCACUUCUGUCCUCAGCCCAACCCCAGCCAGAAAAGGUGUUGCUACAUUCAGUGAAAAAUUAUUAUUAGUAUAGACAUGAAAUUUGAUGAUAAUGUAGAUUGUUUUGUGUCAUCUGCAGGCUGUCACAAUACACUCUGCAUCACUGAAAUGUGUUGACCAGAAGGAUGAUGGUGUUGUCAUGAUACUGAGGUCUUUUAAUUAAUUACUUUGUGACUUUCAUAGCAUUUAGAAAACGGAGAACAGGGUAUUUUCUUGAACAGCCUAGCCAAAUGAAAAACUGGUUACUAAUGUAUGUUAUCUUCAUGAAUGAAGGCAUAAAAUAAUAAAAACAAACAAAUUAAAAAUUGUUAAUAAAUUAAUAACUAAUAAAAAUAAAUAAAAUAAA
rnacentral:lncRNA from 1 species